ensembl:lncRNA
UGGGGUCUCUGAGAGUCAAAUACAACUUAGCAACUAAAACAAGAAGACAAACAUAAAGGUCUUGUCUUAGCAUCCAAAGAUCCCUUCCUACAUUGAUUUACUCUGCAGCAAAGGUUCCCAGGGAAACAUGGCAAGAUGUGAUGGAGAGCAGAGCAAGACUCAUCACAACAAAAUACUUGGGAGCAUUUUCUCAUUUCGUCCACUCUUGUGACCAAGGUUUGGCUCAGAGUUUGGACCAUGUGGAUGCAGACACGCCACACUCAUAUCCCUUCCGCAUUCUGAUGGGUAGGUCAUGCCUGAAUGAUAGAAACUACAACAGAGAUGAAAUAUAACCCUUUGAGAGCAUCCAGCACAAGUAGAUUGUGUGUAAUUAUUUAAUCAUUCAUUGGCUGGAGGCAAAUCAGAGAAGACUUCCAGGAAGAGGACUAGAACUUUCAAGGUGGAGCUGUAGGAGCUGGGAGAAAAGGCGUUCCAGAGCCAGCAGAGCAGAGAUGCAGAGGAAGGGAGCUGCCUGGAGUGUCCUGGGAACCGGAACUACUCUUGGCUGGCCGAGGACGUAAGCAGGAAGGGCUCCUGGAAAGCAUGUUCAUCUCAGUUCCCUGACCAGGGAUUGAACCUGCAUUGGAAGCAUGAAGUCUCUGAAACACUGAACAGGCAGGGAAGUCCGGUUUUCACGUUUAAUAUUACAUUAGCUUCUCAAAAGGCCGUCCCCACAAUGAACUGUAGAACUCAUGAAGAAUCUUUUAAUGCCACUCUGAACUUGGAAAGCAACCGUGGUGGCAGAUAUCAACUUCUGAAAGUACACAAUACGAGACUUGAGCUGUAUUUGAGUCAAAACCAAAUCUGAACCUGGUAGAACUGUGCCGGACACAAACUUUGAAAUGAAAUACUCAGCACUGCAGCUAAGGUGCUAAUAUAUAGAUCAAGGCCGGCUCUUUUCUCAGCUUGAGAUCUGGAGGAGCUAGCCCUGGGUUUAUAGGAUCCUUUCCUGCUCUUUCCCUGGUGCCUCAGACAGUAAAGAACCUGUCUGCAAUGCAGGAGACCUGGGUUCGAUCCCUGGGUUGGGAAGAUCCCCUGGCGAAGGAAGUGGCUACCUACUCCAGUAUUCUUGCCUGGAAAAUUCCAUGGACAGAGCCUGGUGGGCUACAGUCCAUGGGUUGCAGAGUCUGGACAUGGCUGAGCAACUUUCACUUCACUUUCUGCUCUUUCAGAGUCUUGGCCCCAAGGGAGUCCUCUCUUCUCACCUAAUGUCACACACAUGUAGGGGGCCUGGAUGGGGUCCUGGUACAGACACUACAGACUGUAGCUGCCUAUAAAGACUGAGAUGACUCCUUUAUCUGUGAGCCUUCGCUGGCUGCCUUAGGAC